UGCGUAGGCGGGUUAUUAAGUCAGUGGUGAAAGUUUGCGGCUCAAACCGUAAAAGUGCCAUUGAUACUGGUAGCCUUGAGUACAGUAGAGGUAGGCGGAAUUUAUGGUGUAGCGGUGAAAUGCAUAGAUACCAUAAAGAACACCGAUAGCGAAGGCAGCUUACUAUGCUGUAACUGACGCUGAGGCACGAAAGCGUGGGGAGCGAACA
rnacentral:rRNA from 1 species